rnacentral:rRNA from 1 species
GACGAACGCUGGCGGCGUGCCUAAUACAUGCAAGUAGAACGCAGUUGCGAACGGGUGAGUAACGCGUAGGUACCUGCCUGGUAGCGGUGGAUUACUAUUGGAAACGCUAGCUAAUACCGCAUACUACCAGAUGGACCUGCGUUGUAUUAGCUAGUUGGUGGGGUAAAGGCUCACCAAGGAAACGAUACAUAGCCGACCUGGGAGGGGGAUCGGCCACAAUGGGACUGAGACACGGCCCAGAAUCCGACGGGAGGGAGCAGUAGGGAAUCUUCGGCAAUGGACGGAAGUCUGACCGAGCAAAGGCGCGUGAGUGAAGAAGGUUUUCGGAUCGUAAAGCUCUGUUGGAAGAGAAGCGGUAUCUUACCAGAAAGGGACGGCUAACUACGUGCCAGCAGCCGCGGUAAUUC